CCUGACCGUUUGAAGAAAUUGCUGAAUUUCCAAUACUAUUCCAUCAUUGACAAUGCCACCGAGAGCCAAACCCGGGGAGGGUAUUGCUCUUGUGCUGGAUGUUAGUCCUCAUGUCCGAGCAGGUGUUGAUGAAACUUCUUUUCCCUCUCCAAGAAAUGUAUAAUAAAUAUCUUGCAGCGUAAGAUGUUUGCUGAAAAAUGCAGAGAUGAGGUUGCUGUCAUCCUCUUUGGGUCAGAUGAAACUGAGAAUUCACUAGCAAAACCUAAUCAGUAUCAAAACAUUAAAGUUCUGCAAGAGCCACGUCUAGUUUCAUGGGGAGUAAUUAAUGAAGUAGAACGCAUAACUGGGGGAAAAAAAUCUGGUGAUUGGUUGGAUGCUUUGGUCGUGGCUAUGGAUCUUCUGCAUGAUCCAGAGUAAGU